rnacentral:rRNA from 1 species
GAUGAACGCUGGCGGCGUGCCUAAUACAUGCAAGUCGAGCGAACAGACGAGGAGCUUGCUCCUCUGACGUUAGCGGCGGACGGGUGAGUAACACGUGGAUAACCUACCUAUAAGACUGGGAUAACUUCGGGAAACCGGAGCUAAUACCGGAUAAUAUAUUGAGCCGCAUGGUUCAAUAGUGAAAGACGGUUUUGCUGUCACUUAUAGAUGGAUCCGCGCCGCAUUAGCUAGUUGGUAAGGUAACGGCUUACCAAGGCAGCGAUGCGUAGCCGACCUGAGAGGGUGAUCGGCCACACUGGAACUGAGACACGGUCCAGACUCCUACGGGAGGCAGCAGUAGGGAAUCUUCCGCAAUGGGCGAAAGCCUGACGGAGCAACGCCGCGUGAGUGAUGAAGGUCUUCGGAUCGUAAAACUCUGUUAUUAGGGAAGAACAAAUGUGUAAGUAACUAUGCACGUCUUGACGGUACCUAAUCAGAAAGCCACGGCUAACUACGUG